rnacentral:rRNA from 1 species
UACGUAGGGACCGAGCGUUGUCCGGAAUCAUUGGGCGUAAAGAGCGUGUAGGCGGCCACUUAAGUCCUGCGUGAAAUCUUGCGGCUCAACCGCAAGCGGUCGUGGGAAACUGGGUGGCUAGAGUGCGGGAGAGGAGAGUGGAAUUCCUGGUGGAGCGGUGAAAUGCGUAGAUAUCAUUUGGAACGCCAAUGGUGAAAACAGGUAGCUGGGGCUGUGCUGACACUGAGACACGAAAGCCAGGGGAGCAAACGGG